CCCGGAAGGUCAGGCAAAUCCUGGAAUCCCUCACUGGGCAGCUUUCACAUUGUUGACUAUCCUGAUGAGGAUGGGGCAGGAACGAGAGGAGCUGGUACACCCACUGAAGCUAGAGCGAGAGCAGCUAAUGGAAACUGAGUUCCCAUCACAUCACCUUCUCCACAUGGGGAGAAGUUUCUUCAGCUUCUGAAAUGACAAGUUACCUUCUUAAGAAUGCGUGUGUUUGCUUCUGACCUUCUCCAUCUAGUGGCUGGUGCUGCUUCCCACCCGUGCUUUAAACAAGCCUCCUGUACUUGCUCGCUGAAUAAACAUGAUGAGAACCCCACACUCUCCAGGGGAGUCCUAGAGAAAUGUGUUCCGGGCAUCUGUACGGCUGAAUUUCAGAAGGUCUAGACUCCUCGGGAGAGGCCUUCAUACUGUAUAAACAGCAGGUGCCAUAUGAUGUAUUUUACCUCAGGAAGGUUUAUUUGCCAUACAAAGAGUCACUCGUGGAGAGAUAAUCCCAUGUUGGCACCUGAUACCUCAAAAUGAAGUAUGUGGCCUGAGGCGACUCAUUUAACCCCUCAACCUCACCAUCUGGGACCUCCAGGAAACUAUGCCCGCUCUCUCAAAGCAGCAUUUUAGUGGCCUUUGAAAUAUCUUAGAAGGGUUUGGCAAGUGGAAAUGCUACAUUGACACCAGUUAACUGAAAAUAAUUGAUGCUCAGAGAAUAGUAUUCUUAGGGAGUCCACAUUUCUCAUGGCUUAUCUUCAUUCCCAAGCCCCGGGAACGGGAUGGGUUGACCUGGGAGUGUGCCAAAAUUACUUCUUACUGCUCUUUUUUCAGUAAGAAUCUGAUUCUACCUGAACCUGAGCACUGGGUUAAAGGAGGCUUAGGGAUUAACUCCCAUCGGUCUUUUGAAGGAGAAUGUGAUCCCUUAUCAACUUUCUCUUUGAAUCUCUUCUUUGAUAAAAUGUUGCACUGGUUCUCGGCUUCUCUCCUUUAGUUUUUCUGCCUCAUCUGAGUUAUUUAAUUAUAUUGUUUUCAUUCUCCUUUCCUGUCUGGCUUUCAGAU